CCUCCUAAAAAGUUGUUUUGGCAAAUAGGACGAAGAAAACAGUUCAACUUCAUAUGUAGCGCUCCUCAUUGAGUUGAAAACCAAAAAAACAACUUCACUAGUGAAGAAAAGCUAUGUCAAACAGGGCCUGAGUGCCAUCGUCAUGAUAGUCGCAAUCGCUGUCACAACGAUCAUGGCAAUCGUAAUCGUCAUGGCCUCAACUCCUCCCCGGCAACCAACUAUUACUAUGGGCAUCAAUGCGAUAGGCGCGGUCUUCAUAGUCAUUGAGGUUGCCUUCAUAGUGACCGUAGUUGUCACAAUGUCUAGGGCACUUCUCCUCUAGGCUUUAUUGCAGUUGUUCCGCCUCAUGCCGAUGGUGUCGCAGGUAUCGUAGUCACUCCUCAUCCUUGAGUUUGCAAAUUUUGCCAAAUUGCUCUAGAUUUGAUCCUUUUUGCUCCUUUAUUGCUUGCACGUUUUUCCAAUCCGUCUAUCUGCUCCUUUUUUGGCUACCAACAUAUAUGCACCCAUGUUUUUAACCAAAACAUAUGUGAGUUUAAAAAUACAUGACAACCACAAUAACGAUGUUGAAUUCAUCAGCUACUUUUUUGUCUAUGAGAAAUAUAUGUAUAUCAGCCAUAUUACAAGCUCUUAGGCUUUUUGCUUGAUUUUAUUACAACGAUUGUAUUACAUUAGUGGAGUACUUUGUAUUUCAGGACAUAGGAGGUACGUAGGGGUUUUUUUUUGAGAGAGAAGGAAGUAGAUAGAUAGAACGAGUUUUAUUUUAAGAGUGAACAAGACGUAUGAAUUUGCGAUGGAAAAGGAAAGGCCGUAUGGUGUGCAUCACUUUUUAUCUGCUGUUUUGGCCCAACCCAACCAACUCCUGGUCCCUGGAUCAUUGCGUCGAUGGGCUUAACUCUCUCAAUUGGGCUGGCUUCAAUUUUGCGAUGGCCUGACAUCAGCUGAUUACAUCUGUGAGACUGUGACUGUGAAAUUUUCACCCCCCCCCCCCAAAAAAAAAAGGGGAAAAAAAUCUGUGACUGGCCGAGGAAGCGUGAAUCACGUCAUUCCUUGUCAACUAUAGCGAAGAAGAGUAUGUUUGCUAUAAAAAAAACUAAGGGCCUGUUUAGAUUUGAAAUUUUUUUGGGCCAAAGAGAAAAAAUCUUAUGGAAUUGGGGUUUAGGAACUAAACGGGGUCAAAAAAUUUUGGGGUAAAAAUUUUAGGCUGUAACUGUGUACGCACUCCCAUAGAAGCCCACCAAUAACAACUGCAAAUGCCCAAGUUGUGUCAGAAAAAAAAUUACCAAACUAAACACCUAAAAUUUUUCGCGUGUUCUGACCACAAAAAUUUUUACCACUUUGGCCAAAAAAUUUCAAAUCUAAACAGGGCCUAAAGCUAAUGGAAAAGUACGUGUACGUACAAACGGACUCCCCCUCUGCACAUCAGAACUGUUUCAAUUGGAAUGCAGUGAAGCCAUCUAGCCCAAGCACCAUUCUCAUACGCCUGUUUGUAAGUACUGGGGUUAGUUUAUUUUCUGGCCCUAGACAAACUAGCCAUGGUGGAAAAUUUAGUGGAGACUGUUUUUAUGGGAUUGCUGUGGCCCCAUUAAUAUUUUUUCCCCUCUGAAACAGACCCGAUCAUGUAUUACCCAUCCACGGUCCGGAUCCUCCAUGGCUCCAUCACAAGUAGAGUGCAAGCUAAGCAGAAAUGACAGAGGCACUAGGAUCUGAACCUUCAGAUCCAUAUUAGAUGGCAACGGGUAAAAUCCGUGCGGAUAGUGGCUUCGCUCGCCCGCGCCCGCGAACAAAAUCCCAUGCCCGCACCCGCACCCGCCACCCGCCACGGGCACAAACCUCUGCCCGUGCCCGCUAUCUGCGGGCAAGGCUCGCCCGCGGGUAUGCCCGCAUACCCGCCAAACGAUGACGGACUGCUGGCAGAGAUCCUGACGGCGGACGGCGCUGCGGAGAAGGCAGAUUGGGCCGGAGGCGCGCGAGUAUGGGUCUGGAGCGGAGAUGGCAUACCGGUCUCCUGGAGCAGGGAGGCUGUCUGGGAAGCCGGUGGCCAGCCGGGAGGUGCGCGCCACGAACGGAGCAACCGUGCUCGAGCGCCGUCGAUUCGACCCCCGCUGCCACCGGUUCGAGCGCCGCCGCCGUCAUAUGGACCCCUACAGUCGCCAGAUCGAGCUCCAUCGUGGUCAGAUCGAGCAUCGCGCCCCCGAACCGACCUCCGACGCCACUGGAUUGACCUCCGCCACCGCGAGAUGAAGCACUACGGCCACCGAAUCGACCUCCGACGCUGCCGGAUCGAGUUGCGGGGCGAGGUAGGGCAGGCAGCGGCAGGGGAUCCAAACGCCCCCAAGGGAAGCUGGCGAGGUGAGGCGAGGAGAGGAGAGGCAAGCGGGCGAUGUGAGGCGCCUCAGGCGAGCUUGGCGAGCGGCGGCGGGGUGAGGAGAAUGAGAGGAUUUGACGGGCGAGGGGCAAC
rnacentral:lncRNA from 1 species